rnacentral:rRNA from 1 species
GAUGAACGCUGGCGGCGUGCUUAACACAUGCAAGUCGAGCGAACAGGCGCGGAGCUUGUUGGUCUGUCGUGAGCGGCGGACGGGUGAGUAACACGUGGAUAACCUCCCUAUCAGACUGGGAGAAUUUCGGGAAACCGGCGCUAAUACCGGAUGAUAUAUUGAACCGCAUGGUUGAAUGGUGAGGGACGGCUUUUGUGUCAGUUGUAGAUGGAUCCGCGCCGCAUUAGCUUGUUGGUGAGGUAACGGCGUACCAAGGCGACGAUGCGUAGCCGACCUGAGAGGGGGGUCGGCCACACUGGAGCUGAGACGCGGUCCAGACUACUACGGGAGGCAGCAGAAGGGAAUCUUACGCAAUGGGCGGAAGCCUGACGGAGCAACGCCGCGUGAGUGGUGAAGGUCUUCGGAGCGUAAAACUCUGUUAUUAGGGAAGAACAAAUGUGUAAGUAACUAUGGACGUCUUGACGGUACCUGGUCAGAAAGCAACGGCUAACUACGUG